GAUGAACGCUGGCGGCGUGCUUAACACAUGCAAGUCGAACGAAACACCUUAUUUGAUUUUCUUCGGAACUGAAGAUUUGGUGAUUGAGUGGCGGACGGGUGAGUAACGCGUGGGUAACCUACCCUGUACAGGGGGAUAACAGUCAGAAAUGACUGCUAAUACCGCAUAAGACCACAGCACCGCAUGGUGCAGGGGUAAAAACUCCGGUGGUACAGGAUGGACCCGCGUCUGAUUAGCUGGUUGGUGAGGUAACGGCUCACCAAGGCGACGAUCAGUAGCCGGCUUGAGAGAGUGAACGGCCACAUUGGGACUGAGACACGGCCCAAACUCCUACGGGAGGCAGCAGUGGGGAAUAUUGCACAAUGGGGGAAACCCUGAUGCAGCGACGCCGCGUGAGUGAAGAAGUAUCUCGGUAUGUAAAGCUCUAUCAGCAGGGAAGAAAAUGACGGUAC
rnacentral:rRNA from 1 species